UUAUCGGAGCAGUCCGGUAUUAUUUUCAAGUUCAAGUGCAUAGUACACGCCGCGCGUCCGUGUGCAGAUACGACUCUCUUUCUCUCUCUGGCUAUCUCUGUGUCGGUAAGUGCGCCUCGUAUCGUCGUGAGAAAACGUAUAUGAGACUUCUCUCGAGUAUACCCCCACCGGGGGAGAUCAAUCCUGGCAGCUGCAGUUGGACCGCGUCUUUCCUCGUAUUCGCGAGAAUUUUAAUACACGAGUCUAUUUUUUUUUUAUUUUCAGUAGGGGUCGAAGAUAACAUUUAUAUAAGACCUUAGACUUAUCGAUUGCGGAGGUGUCGCGCUCUGCUCACACUUUUUUUUCAAAGAGCCUUGGCGUGAAUAAAGUAUGAGCGUUAUUCGCGUUUUCUUGGAUGAUGUGCGAAGCAAGUGGUUGAGAGAAAGAGAAACUUUCUAAUAUACGGCGACGUGUGCAGCAGCCGCUAAUUUGUACAUAACACUAUAGAUACACAGAAAGAGAGAGAGAGAGAGAGAGAGAGAGAGAGAGAGAGAGAGAGAGAGAGAGAGAGACGGCGGUGGCGCAGAGAAGAUGAUCAGGGCCGCGACAAUUGCGCGAAAUUGACACACAGUGAAGGCGGCUACCGCCGACUGGUAAACUCCCCUCUCCGGCGGCAGGGCCUCUUAAUUGAGUAAUCUCAAUUGGAUUUGCCAAAGGGUAAACCAAUUUUACAAUCGAGAUUCAACUCUCCUCACAUACAUACAAUCAUAUGGGCUUAUUCGUUUUCGGACGUACCGCCUGUGCACAGUGUUGUUGUAACGAUGAAUGAUGAGACGCGCGUCGAGAGAUAAUCCAAUUUGUGUUUGUUGUAAAGCAAUUUGCGAAACUUAUUGGCUCGAUCGAAUUAUAUUAUCACAUUUUGUUUUUCCUCGCGAUUCGUCGAGGGUGGUAAGUAUACGAAACAGCCUUCUCGGAGACACGAGGAUGGAAUAAUAAUUAUUGUUGUAACUAUACCAACGGCUGAAUUGGAUACCGAAGAUAGACAGAGACGCGCAACGCGAUAUGGUUUUCAUACAUGCAGCAGCAGCUGCAUCACCUGACUCAUCGAGAAAUCCAAGAAGUAUUCGCAAGCGAGCGAUAAAAAAAGAGCGCACGUGCUACACCGAAUCGCAACAUCGUGUACGCAUUGUCGCGAGAUAAUUCGAUUCGGCGAUCAUAAAUUCAAUAAAAAAAAGCAUCCGAUCACGGGCGAUCAUUAAAAAAAUAAAAUAACAAUAAAAACACGUCGUUACAGCCGGACAAAAAUUAUAUACAGCGUUUACUAGAAAAUUUCAGCAAAAAGAGCUGCAGGCGAUAAACGAAAAAUUUUCUGCAACAACUUCUUACAAUACAGUGCAACCUUCCACGUCGCGCUUAAUUGCCAUUCGAUUGACGUAAAAGAUGGAGACGUAUAUAAUAAUACAAGCUCGCGCGUUAAUCAGGUAGUCCGAAAACGUGCGACCAUUUUCAACAAAAGAAUAUAAAAGUUUCCACGCUCUACAAAGAAGUAUGUAUUAUAUCGGGGAGCCGCCGCCGCCGUCGAAAAUGAAAAUAUUACGACACCGUGAAUCACGCAACCUUGAACCUGCUCCGAUAGUCCGAGACGAUUCGGUUGAUAUUCCAGCACGUUCGCUCUGAAUAAUGUACACGCACCAACGACGCGUUUAAAGUUGAAGGUGUAUAACGCACUGCGCUGCGUGCGAAUGACGCGAGUGAGAAAUAAAUUACUCCGCGGAGAGAGAGAGAGAGAGAGAGAGAAAGAGAGAGUUCAAUCGAGUGCAAAGCUCGACUUUGAUGAUUUUCGAGCGAGUAAAAUAAUUUAAUGAAAAAAGAGAAGAAAAAAAUUAUCGGAGAGACGAUAAGAGAAAAUGGUCAGUUCGUGGGAGACAAAAGAGCUUAUCCGCGUAUAUGGCGGCCACACAUGUCUACGUUGCAUCACGUCGCCGACACGCGUAUACGUAACGUAACGCGUGUCUACGUAUCGCGGACACGGGGAAAUGUCGUGCGACGAGAGGUUCGAGAUAGCCGCGCUUGAUUUUUUCUUCUUCUUCGACUCUUUUCUCGCCGGACACGCGAUUUUCCAGUCGCGCGAUUCAUUUCCCCGAUAAUGCAUGUAUGGGGAAGUGCGAUUACGUAUACGAGAUCUUGUUUGACUCGACGCGUGUGUGUGUGUGUGUGUCUCGUACGAGAUUAUUAAGGCUAAUGGAGAGAUGCGCGACGACGUAGGAUAAGAGAAUUUUGCCAUUUUUUUUUUCAAGAUUGUCAGUGAUUGAGUAGUCGAUGUUGAUGUAGUAUUUUUAGACACGUAGUGUGCGUGAUAUUUGUUUUCGUGAUACACUACUCUCGGCUUGACGUUGAAUUAACGAUUUUAAUAAGCGAUUUUGCAAUUUCGCACGAGUGAAGCAACUGGUUACCGUUACAAAAUGCAGCUGCUUAUCGGAGGCUCAACCACCAGCAGAGACGUACUCUUUCGUCAUGCACAAGAGAGAAGAAAGAUAAUUGAUAGCGUCCGAUAUUAUUGUGUAAUUUACCUUCAUGUCAAGAACAAGAGGACAACGGUCACACAGCGAUUAAUCAUCGACGACGAUGAUUGCGCCAACGCUAACCGACGCUUUGCGAAGCUAUAUACACAUCCUAAUCUUUUUCUUUCUCUCGAUGAAACAAUUCACCUUCAAAAAUAUAUUCCCCUUCGACGCACAGAAAGCUGCGCGAAAUUGAGAGGAAUGCGACUCAUUGCUUCUUACAUACCGACACUUAAAGAGUCAAUAACCCGAUAACUUUUUUACAGUCGCUGCAAUUUCGCCAGCCUUGAGUGCAGCACCUGCUCCCCUUAUAUAUCACUCGCGCUCGGAAAUUCAUAACUGCCUGCGCUUGACUUUACGAUAUUCGCAUAUAUAACGUUCACUUUCGUUGCUCUUUUGGGCACUAUCGCGUAUAGGCUCGAAAAUAUUUCACCUCCAUUUAUACAGCAAUGUUACUUGUAAAUUUAUCGGCUAUUGGAGUAUAUAUCGCCAAACGGAAAACAAAAUCGAUUACGCUCUCGACCUUAAACUUGAAGAGAAUUGGAUAACGUCCGGUUUAUAUGCCGAUGUGUUUGUGUAUUACGUAAAGUAUGUAUAUAUGUAAACGUAUGCUUGAGGCUUCACCCGGGACUACCCUAUAACGAGUUAAAGAGGCGCUAUCGAUAAAUAUAGGUAUAUAACUUUUCUAUGG